UCACUUACGCACCGUUGAACAGAAUCGACGUCACCACGUCACUUACGUUCAGAUCCACAACAAACAUGUCGGACGAUCACACAGAUGCAGAUCAGUCGAUGGAGGGACACACUCCUGUUUCUGAGAACCCUCACGCAGAGUACGGCCUGACGGAAAACAUCCAGGU